rnacentral:rRNA from 1 species
AAUACCCUAUUAUUUUAAAAGAAAUUUAUUAUACCUAAUUAGUAGUAGUUAAGGUCUUGAAAAUUAAAGAAUUUGGCGGUAUUUUAGUCUAUUCAGAGGAAUCUGUCCUAUAAUUGAUGAUCCACGAUUUUUAUUACCUAUUUUUUUAAUUUACAUAUCGUCGUAGUUUGAAUAUUUUUAGAAAAUAAUAAUAUUCAUAAAUUAUUUUUAUAAAAAAAAUCAGAUCAAGGUGUAGUUUAUAAGUAGGGGGAGAUGGAUUACAAUAAAAAUAUUUAUUAUGGAAUAAUAAGUGAAAAAUUUUUAUGAAGGUGGAUUUGAUAGUAAUUUUAUUUA